GACGAACGCUGGCGGCGUGCUUAACACAUGCAAGUCGAACGAAGUGGCGAACGGGUGAGUAACGCGUAAUCAACCUGCCCUUCAGAGGGGGACAACAGUUGGAAACGACUGCUAAUACCGCCUACUGAAGUACGGGAUUGCGUCUGAUUAGAUCGUUGGAGGGGUAACGGCCCACCAGGGCGAUGAUCAGUAGCCGUGCUGAGAGGAUGAACGGCCACAUUGGGACUGAGACACGGCCCAGACUCCUACGGGAGGCAGCAGUGGGGAAUCUUCCGCAAUGGACGAAAGUCUGACGGAGCAACGCCGCGUGAGUGAUGACGGCCUUCGGGUUGUAAAGCUCUGUUAAUCGGGACGCGGUACCGGAAUAGAAAGCCACGGCUAACUACGUGCCAGCAGCCGCGGUAAUAC
rnacentral:rRNA from 1 species